rnacentral:rRNA from 1 species
CCUACGGGUGGCUGCAGUGGGGAAUAUUGGGCAAUGGGCGAAAGCCUGAACCAGCCAAGUAGCGUGAAGGAUGACUGCCCUACGGGUUGUAAACUUCUUUUAUAAAGGAAUAAGGUGAGGCACGUGUGCCUUUUUGUAUGUACUUUAUGAAUAAGGAUCGGCUAACUCCGUGCCAGCAGCCGCGGUAAUACAGAGGAUCCGAGCGUUAUCCGGAUUUAUUGGGUUUAAAGGGAGCGUAGAUGGGUUGUUAAGUCAGUUGUGAAAGUUUGCGGCUCAACCGUAAAAUUGCAAUUGAUACUGGCAGCCUUGAGUACAGUGGAGGUAGGCGGAAUUCGUGGUGUAGCGGUGAAAUGCUGAGAUAUCACGAAGAACUCCGAUUGCGAAGGCAGCCUACUAAACUGCCACUGACAUUGAUGCUCGAAAGUGUGGGUAUCAAACAGGAUUAGAUACCCCAGUAGUC